rnacentral:rRNA from 1 species
UACGAAGGGGGCUAGCGUUGUUCGGAAUUACUGGGCGUAAAGCGCGCGCAGGCGGUCUUCCAAGUCAGUGGUGAAAGCCCGGAGCUCAACUCCGGAACUGCCAUUGAAACUGUUAGACUUGAGGAUGAGAGAGGUGAGUGGAAUUCCCAGUGUAGAGGUGAAAUUCGUAGAUAUUGGGAAGAACACCGGUGGCGAAGGCGGCUCACUGGACACAUAUUGACGCUGAGGUGCGAAAGCGUGGGGAGCAAACAGG